CGGAGUAUAGCUCAGCCUGGUAGAGCGCUGUCUUCGGGAGGCAGAGGUCGUGGGUUCGAGUCCCCCUACUCCGACCA
rnacentral:tRNA from 1 species